rnacentral:rRNA from 1 species
GACGAACGCUGGCGGCGUGCUUAACACAUGCAAGUCGAACGGAAAGGCCCUGCUUUUGUGGGGUGCUCGAGUGGCGAACGGGUGAGUAACACGUGAGUAACCUGCCCUUGACUUUGGGAUAACUUCAGGAAACUGGGGCUAAUACCGGAUAGGAGCUCCUGCUGCAUGGUGGGGGUUGGAAAGUUUCGGCGGUUGGGGAUGGACUCGCGGCUUAUCAGCUUGUUGGUGGGGUAGUUGCUUACCAAGGCUUUGACGGGUAGCCGGCCUGAGAGGGUGACCGGCCACAUUGGGACUGAGAUACGGAGCAGAAGCGUACGGGAGGCAGCAGUGGGGAAUAUUGCACAAUGGGCGGAAGCCUGAUGCAGCAACGCCGCGUGCGGGAUGACGGCCUUCGGGUUGUAAACCGAUUUCGCCUGUGACGAAGAGUGAGUGACGGUAAUGGGUAAAGAAGCAACGGCUAACUACGUG